rnacentral:rRNA from 1 species
AAGUCCCGUAACGAGCGCAACCCCUGUGAACUGUUGCCACGGAACCGAGAGGUUCCAGCACUCUGUUCAGACUGCCCCGCUCUAACGGGGAGGAAGGUGGGGACGACGUCAAGUCAGUAUGGCCCUUACGGCCUGGGCUGCACACGUACUACAAUGCCCGGCACAGAACGAUCCAAGACCGCAAGGUGGAGGAAAUCACUAAAACUGGGCCCAGUUCAGAUUGGAGUCUGCAACUCGACUCCAUGAAGCCGGAAUCGCUAGUAAUGGCGCAUCAGCUACGGCGCCGUGAAUACGUUCCCGGGCCUUGUACACACCGCCCGU